UCUUUGCAGACAGUGACAUAUGAGGAGAAUUUAAAAGUCAGUAUCCCAAUUAGUCAAGGAGGAGACUCUUCCAAACACCUCUGGAACAAGCUGAGGCAAGAGAUUUCAGGAGCAUCAACCAUAAUUGCUCUUGCUGUUCCAAGGGUGCUGUUGCCUCAGAUACAUUCCUUCCUGCUCAGGGCAGAUUUUCCAAAAGGAUUCCACAGCUUCUUCUCUGCUGAGCCAUGAGCUUGGUACCUAUACCAGUGCUUAUGGUACUUUUUGUCCUGAGAGGAACCAGAGCCCAGUCAGUGACCCAGCCUGAUGGCCACAUCUCUGUCUCUGAACAAGAUCCUCUGGAGCUGCGGUGCAACUAUUCCUCCUCUGUUCCACCGUAUCUCUUCUGGUAUGUGCAAUACCCCAACCAAGGACUCGAGCUUCUCCUGAAGUACACGUCUGGAAACAGCCUCGUCACAGGCAUCAAAAGUUUUAAGGCUGAAUUUAACAAGGCUGAAACCUCCUUUCACCUGAAGAAAGCCUCAGCCCAUUUGAGCGACUCGGCCCAGUACUUCUGUGCUGUGAGUGACACAGUGCCUGGGGCUGCAGGGGGAGCUGAACACAAACUUCUGCUGAAUGUGAAGCUUUCAGUGACUCAAGGGCUCAGCCUGGAGAAUUCUCAGUAA